CAACUUGGCGUCCCGUCCGUUGACCAGCGUGCAAGCGGGACACUCUCUGCCUCCGGAGGUCAAGGGCUGAAUUCGGGGCCCUCUUUUGGACUUGCCGCACAUGUCGCAGGCCUGCAGGCCUCUCGCAUUCAGCACCGACCUGACUCUCGCACUGGGCGAUGAGCGCGUCCCGGGAGACGGCCGCGGCCAUGUCGGGGCACACGGGCCCGUCCAGAGCCAGGCGGCCUCCACCGAGUGCCCGGUACCCCAUCGCUUGCAGCAAGCUCUCGCCGCCCACGAGGUUGGCCUCGACCUCGUGCUUGUAAAACCCGCAAUAUAACUGAAAAUUACGGCUGGGCCAAUAGAUUAGCCGCAUAUCGAGCCAUUGCCGCCCAACCGAUGCCAGCUCUGUACGCACUAUAGUCGGGUAACUCGUUGACCGUCCUUUGAAAAACUUUGCUCGUCUCUUGCAGACCAAAUUUAUACUCAUUUGGAACUAGCGACAGGUAUUCUGUGAUGUAACCUAAAAUAUUUAUUAAUUGUAAUUUUAUUAUUUAUUAGCAAAUAACGCAGAUUUAAUGUUUAAUAAUGUUGUAAACCAGUUUUUUUAGGAGACAGUGGCCCGUAAGUGUCCCUAUCAAGUUUCUUACUUUAAUAGAUUUCCUGCUGUCAGUGCCAUUUUGGACUGUCUGCAGUCUGUAUUAAGCGACUAACAGUAAUUUUGGUGUUCUGUGGAUUCAAUUGCCUUUCUUGCAGCUUUUGCUUGCUUCGGCAGCAUCAUUGCCAUGAAAUCCUUUUAUUUUGUUGGUCACACAUUUGGAAGAAAAGCCAUUGCCCAAUUGGGUAGACACAUGAUCGCUAUAACUAAUCUACAACAAACUAUUCUGUACUAAUAAAUGUUUACCUUGCAA